AUUUCUCAACCUUUCUAGCUUUUUCAGCUGGUUAGGCUUGGAUCUUGGAAGUUGCUGGCUUCUCACGAAUCAGCUCUUCUUAAAUAUAUUAGCAAAGACCUUUGCUGACCAUCUUUGGUAUGAUAAUUAUCUAUAUCAUUGAUAACCAGCUUCCUUUAUGGAGAGGUUUUGCUUCUAAUAGUCGUUUGACAACUUGACA
rnacentral:misc_RNA from 1 species